UUUUCACUCCAAAAUAACUAGUGGUUUUUUUAGUUACAUAUGUGAAAUGUGUUAAAUUGAACUAAUGUUUUCUUUUGUGCAAAUUAAUUUAACAUGAGUCCAUUGAGUCUCAAAGUAUGGACGUUGAUUUUGAAGAGGUUGAUGUUGAAGAGGUUGAUGGAUUGAGUUUUAAUACCAAAACUCAAGGCGAGCAACUCUCGAAAAGAAAGAGGAAGCUGACCCCAAAAGUUUAGAGUCACUUUGUUCAUCUUCCUUUGGGUCCGGACAAAAAAUUGAAGGCCAAGUGCAAACAUUGUCACUCUAUGUAUCUCGUGGACAACAAGUAUGGAACUGGUAAUCUGAAACGCCACCUUGUGAGUUGUCUGAAAACCUCCUACCGUGAUAUAGGACAGAUGCUCCUUGCCCAAGAAACUAGUGUAGUGACACUUUGUGGAGAGUACAACAAAAAAACUAAGACUACAAUUAGCCAAAAGACCAAUGCUGUUGAAUCUUCUAUGAAGGAAAAAGAAGGAAAUGAUGAUGUGGAUGCUAUAUUCAAGAAAUUUGAUGAGAUGUCUUCUAUGGAGUUUACUGCCACUUCACAUAAACAGAGCUUGAGUUUUAUUUGGAUGAGCCAAGACUGGCUAGGAACACAGAGCUUGAUAUCAUUUCCUUUUGGAAAUCAAACCAAUUUCG